ACGGAGGGUGCAAGCGUUAUCCGGAUUCACUGGGUUUAAAGGGUGCGUAGGUGGCUUUGUAAGUCAGUGGUGAAAUCUUAGAGCUUAACUCUAAAACUGCCAUUGAUACUGCUUAGCUUGAAUCAAGUUGAGGUGGAUGGAAUAUUACAUGUAGCGGUGAAAUGCUUAGAUAUGUAAUAGAACACCGAUUGCGAAGGCAGUUCACUAAGCUUGUAUUGACACUGAGGCACGAAAGCGUGGGGAUCAAACAGGAUUAGAUACCCUGGUAGUCCACGCCCUAAACGAUGUAAACUCGACAUUAGCGAUAUACAGUUAGUGUCCAAGCGAAAGCGUUAAGUUUACCACCUGGGAAGUACGUCCGCAAGGAUG
rnacentral:rRNA from 1 species